UUAGCUAGUUGGCGGGGUAACGGCCCACCAAGGCGACGAUGACUAGGGGAUCUGAGAGGAUGACCCCCCACACUGGUACUGAGACACGGACCAGACUCCUACGGGAGGCAGCAGUAAGGAAUAUUGGUCAAUGGAGGCAACUCUGAACCAGCCAUGCCGCGUGCAGGAAGACAGCCCUCUGGGUCGUAAACUGCUUUUAUUCGGGAAUAAACCACAUUACGUGUAAUGUGCUGAAUGUACCGAAGGAAUAAGGAUCGGCUAACUCCGUGCCAGCAGCCGCGGUAAUACGGAGGAUCCAAGCGUUAUCCGGAUUUAUUGGGUUUAAAGGGUGCGUAGGCGGCUUAUCAAGUCAGGGGUGAAAGACGGUGGCUCAACCAUCGCAGUGCCUUUGAUACUGAUGAGCUUGAAUACACUAGAGGUAGGCGGAAUGUGACAAGUAGCGGUGAAAUGCAUAGAUAUGUCACAGAACACCGAUUGCGAAGGCAGCUUACUAUGGUGUGAUUGACGCUGAGGCACGAAAGCGUGGGGAUCAAACAGGAUUAGAUACCCUGGUAGUCCACGCCCUAAACGAUGAAUACUCGCUGUUAGCGAUAUACAGUUAGCGGCUAAGCGAAAGCGUUAAGUAUUCCACCUGGGGAGUACGCCCGCAAGGGUGAAACUCAAAGGAAUUGACGGGAGCCCGCACAAGCGGAGGAGCAUGUGGUUUAAUUCGAUGAUACGCGAGGAACCUUACCCGGGCUUGAAAGUUAGUGAAUCAUUUAGAGAUAGAUGAGUCCGCAAGGACACGAAACUAGGUGCUGCAUGGCUGUCGUCAGCUCGUGCCAUGAGGUGUUGGGUUAAGUCCCGCAACGAGCGCAACCCCUAUGUUUAGUUGCCAGCACGUUAUGGUGGGGACUCUAAACAGACUGCCUGUGCAAACAGAGAGGAAGGAGGGGACGACAUCAAGUCAUCAUGGCCCUUACGUCCGGGGCUACACACGUGCUACAAUGGAUGGUACAGAGGGCAGCAAGCUGGCAACAGCAAGCGAAUCUCAAAAAGCCAUUCACAGUUCGGAUAGAGGUCUGCAACUCGACCUCUUGAAGUUGGAUUCGCUAGUAAUCGCGUAUCAGCAAUGACGCGGUGAAUACGUUCCCGGGCCUUGUACACACCGCCCGUCAAGCCAUGGAAGUUGGGGGUACCUAAAGUAUGUAACCGCAAGGAGCGUCCUAGGGUAAAACCGAUAACUGGGGCUAAGUCGUAACAAGGUA
rnacentral:rRNA from 1 species